GGUAGGAGGCACACCUUACUAUAAUGAUGUCACCACAGGUCCAACAGGUCAGUGAAUCAGUAACUUGAUCACAGGAUUUCACUUAGUUAAUUAACCUACUGAGCUUGUGAACAGUAAAAUCAAGUUUUAAUUCACACCCUUUCUUGAUUUUGCUUUUAACUCAUUUAAAGAGCAACAAGUCACACCAGAGAAUUAUGAUGAUGUAAUCACUGUUGGACUGACACAUCAUACUACAGGUGACAUAUCAGAAAGCUAUGAUGAUGUUGUCAUCAUAAGACGGCUCUCCAAUAAUAAAUCAGAGGGAGAUCUGGAGGAGUAUGAUGAUGUCUGGUAGACCUGUCUG